ACUACAUGAUGAUCACUAAGAGAAUUUGCAAUGCUGACAGUCACCAAUCACCUGUGAGAUUGUGUGUUGACUCUUCUACACUUGAUCUGAUC
rnacentral:snoRNA from 1 species